GAAAUGCGAUAAGUAAUGUGAAUUGCAGAAUUCAGUGAAUCAUCGAAUCUUUGAACGCACCUUGCGCUCCUUGUUAUUCCUUGGAGCAUGCCUGUUUGAGUAUCAUGAAAUCUUCAAAGUAAAUCUUUUGUUAACUCAAUUGGUUUCUACUUUGGUAUUGGAGGUCUUUGCAGCUUCACACCUGCUCCUCUUUGUUCAUUAGCUGGAUCUCAGUGUUAUGCUUGGUUCCACUCGGCGUGAUAAGUUAUCUAUCGCUGAGGACACUGUAAAAGGUGGCCAAGGUAAAUGCAGAUGAACCGCUUCUAAUAGUCCAUUGACUUGGACAAUACUUUUAUGAUCUGAUCUCAAAUCAGGUAGGACUACCCGCUGAACUCAAGC
rnacentral:misc_RNA from 1 species